rnacentral:rRNA from 1 species
CGUAGUCGAUGGGAAACAGGUUAAUAUUCCUGUACUUCUGGUUACUGCGAUGGAGGGACGGAGAAGGCUAGGCCAGCUUGGCGUUGGUUGUCCAAGUUUAAGGUGGUAGGCUGAAAUCUUAGGUAAAUCCGGGGUUUCAAGGCCGAGAGCUGAUGACGAGUCGUCUUUUAGAUGACGAAGUGGUUGAUGCCAUGCUUCCAAGAAAAGCUUCUAAGCUUCAGGUAACCAGGAACCGUACCCCAAACCGACACAGGUGGUCGGGUAGAGAAUACCAAGGCGCUUGAGAGAACUCGGGUGAAGGAACUAGGCAAAAUGGCACCGUAACUUCGGGAGAAGGUGCGCCGGCUAAGGUGAAGGAUUUACUCCGUAAGCUCUGGCUGGUCGAAGAUACCAGGCCGCUGCGACUGUUUAUUAAAAACACAGCACUCUGCAAACACGAAAGUGGACGUAUAGGGUGUGACGCCUGCCCGGUGCCGGAAGGUUAAUUGAUGGGGUUAGCGCAAGCGAAGCUCUUGAUCGAAGCCCCGGUAAACGGCGGCCGUAACUAUAACGGUCCUAAGGUAGCGAAAUUCCUUGUCGGGUAAGUUCCGACCUGCACGAAUGGCGUAACGAUGGCGGCGCUGUCUCCACCCGAGACUCAGUGAAAUUGAAAUCGCUGUGAAGAUGCAGUGUAUCCGCGGCUAGACGGAAAGACCCCGUGAACCAUUACUGUAGCUUUGCACUGGACUUUGAGCCUGCUUGUGUAGGAUAGGUGGGAGGCUUUGAAGCGUGGACGCCAGUUCGCGUGGAGCCAUCCUUGAAAUACCACCCUGGCAUGCUUGAGGUUCUAACUCUGGUCCGUAAUCCGGAUCGAGGACAGUGUAUGGGCAGUUUGACUGGGGCGGUCUCCUCCUAAAGAGUAACGGAGGAGUACGAAGGUGCGCUCAGACCGGUCGGAAAUCGGUCGCAGAGUAUAAAGGCAAAGGCGCGCUUGACUGCGAGACAGACACGUCGAGCAGGUACGAAAGUAGGUCUUAGUGAUCUGGUGGUUCUGUAUGGAAGGGCCAUCGCUCAACGGAUAAAAGGUACUCCGGGGAUAACAGGCUGAUACCGCCCAAGAGUUCAUAUCGACGGCGGUGUUUGGCACCUCGAUGUCGGCUCAUCACAUCCUGGGGCUGAAGCCGGUCCCAAGGGUAUGGCGGUUCGCCAUUUAAAGUGGUACGCGAGCUGGGUUUAGAACGUCGUGAGACAGUUCGGUCCCUAUCUGCCGUGGACGUUUGAGAUUUGAGAGGGGCUGCUCCUAGUACGAGAGGACCGGAGUGGACGAACCUCUGGUGUUCCGGUUGUCACGCCAGUGGCAUUGCCGGGUAGCUAUGUUCGGAAAAGAUAACCGCUGAAAGCAUCUAAGCGGGAAACUUGCCUCAAGAUGAGAUCUCACUGGGAACUUGAUUCCCCUGAAGGGCCGUCGAAGACUACGACGUUGAUAGGCUGGGUGUGUAAGCGUUGUGAGGCGUUGAGCUAACCAGUACUAAUUGCCC